rnacentral:tRNA from 1 species
GUUGUGGCUCAUUGGUAGAGCGCUUACCUAGCAUGUGCGAGGCCCUGGGUUCGAUCCUCAGCAUCACA